AACACUGGAAAGGAUUCUACAGGUUUCUCCCAGCUGCUCCGCUGUGAUGUCACCGGUAAGCAGAUACCGGUCUGCUGCAUAGAGUUUUCUUCGGUUUGGGUUUGCCUGCAGCGAGCACUGAGCUGCUGGGACGUGAAACACAAUGCAAAGGUGUUUGUUUACUUGCAGAUGCCCUGCUUGCAGCAGGAGCCGCAUUCCAGGACUUGCUCACAGUCCACUGCUGACUAGAUGUUGCUCAAAGUGGCGUCUGCCAUGAUCCUAGUUGCUUCAAUGGAUGGCACCGCUGACACAAGCAAGAGUUCAGAUCACACCUGGGCAGAUUUGUGCAUCAUGCUUCUGUCUCAGAAGAGCAUUCAAACCACGGCUGAGCUUGAAGACAGUUAUUAGCCAAUGGAUUUCGGAACCAGACCAGCAAUUAUGCAACAAAAACUGAGCAGGCAAUUCUCUCAGCCGUGCAGAAUGGAAACUAGCUCUGCAAGACACUUCCAUGCGACUAGAGGCAUUCAGGAAUGCUACUUGCCAUAGGAGCCGUGCACAAGGACAUAUGGUGCACAUGUGUUGAAAAGGAAAGAUGAGAUUAUACCAUAAUCUUUCUGAAUGUAUCCUCCACUAAAAUGAAUGUGGCCUUGGUCUAA